rnacentral:rRNA from 1 species
AUUGAACGCUGGCGGCAUGCCUUACACAUGCAAGUCGAACGGUAACAGGUCUUCGGAUGCUGACGAGUGGCGAACGGGUGAGUAAUACAUCGGAACGUGCCUAGUAGUGGGGGAUAACUACUCGAAAGAGUGGCUAAUACCGCAUGAGAUCGAAGGAUGAAAGCAGGGGAUCGCAAGACCUUGUGCUACUAGAGCGGCCGAUGGCAGAUGAGGUGGUUGGUGGGUUAAAAGCUUACCAAGCCGACGAUCUGUAGCUGGUCUGAGAGGACGAUCAGCCACACUGGGACUGAGACACGGCCCAGACUCCUACGGGAGGCAGCAGUGGGGAAUUUUGGACAAUGGGCGAAAGCCUGAUCCAGCAAUGCCGCGUGCAGGAUGAAGGCCUUCGGGUUGUAAACUGCUUUUGUACGGAACGAAAAGCCCUGGGUUAAUACCCUGGGGUCAUGGCGGUACCGUAAGAAUAAGCACCGGCUAACUACGUGCCAGCCGCCGCUGUAACAC